UCUAUAGUUAUUGGUUAUGAUCCAAAAUGUGAAAAAAAUUAUCAGCUUUUUUGCAUGGUCCAGAAUUUUAAUUUGUGUUAAUUAACAUUAAUUUCUUUGUGUAAACUUUUAAAUAAGGGUAAAAUACUAACACACACCUUGUCAUGUUAACGUCAAGUUCAACCAGUGGUGUAAGUUUGGAGUGUGGGAUUUCCUGUUUAUCCAAACAAUGAUAUGAAACAUUUUUGAAAAACUUUGUAUGGUUUUUGUUGUAUGGUUUACACACUGUAACUUUAAUACGUAGCUGUAAAACGUAAGGCCCAUCUGUGUCACACACUCAUUCAUUGUACUUCAUAGGAGUCUUCUAGGAUUAUUUAUAGUCGAGCGAAUAAGACAGACCUGUGAAAUCACUCCCAGCCUCUCUGAUUGCUUUACAAUGCCUGAAACAUUAUAAAGCUCUGUGAGUGACAAUUGCAGUCGUUUAUAAUGCCCAUAUGUUUCUCUCUUCUUCUCAAUUAUAAAUGAAAUGGUUUUUGACCUACAGUGCAAUGCUUUUACCAUCAGACAGGUUAACUGCAGUGAUGUCUGGCACCCGAGUUUGGAGUUAUUUCAAUAAAGUGCUUGAUUCAACAAAAGGGCAAAUGACUGAAUCAAAGAUGGCUGUAAAUAUUUGUGACACACCACCAGACAACAUGGCACCUGGUGAUGCCUGAUAAGCCAUUGCAAGUUGAUCUUAACUGUUAUUAACGCAUUGUUUUGUUUGUCAUUGCUGUGGCUGCUAUGGCUGGUGUAUUUUUUGGCCUAGAGGAUAAAAGUAAUGUAACUAUGACCAAAUCUCAUUUCAAGCAGCACUUAAUCAGCUCCAUUAGUCACUCGUUACCUUUUAAAUGUAAGAUUAGCAGCCCUUAUCCAGGCUUAUUAACUUUUGUGUUUAUGUUUGCACUUUGUUUCUCUUCACGUGGCCUCAUCUGCCCAUGCUGCUCAAGACGUCCUGGGACAACGGUACUCUAAAGAACGUGUGGCUGUCUGUCAUCAGCGGGCGUCGCUUGGCUCUAUCUGGGUCUUUCAGUCCUGUCUCGUCUCUCAGCAUGCUGUUAGUCUUCCUUUUAACAACCCUCCACACAUGCUGAGAGCUGCAAAUGAAGCCACAACAACAUCUCCAGUCGCCGUCACCUGUGAAUUCUGGGGCUGAUGAAAGAAAGUAAAGUUACCCUUGCAAGCUGGAAGAGAGUCUGCCAACUGCAAUGAAGCAUCAAGAAAGACAUGAGCAGGCCAGCCACCCUGAGACUGAUAAUUCAUGAGAAGACAUUUCUGUCAAAGUGGAUGGUGAGCAAAGAUGGUGGACACGUUUUGGAGCAGCACCUUGGUUUUGCAGUUAGCUGUGUAUUCUUUGGCUGCUUGUCUUUUUUCCCCCAUUAUGUUUCUGUUGCCUAAAGAUUCUUUGUGAGGAUGAAUCCAGAGGACACAACAUAAUGCACUGCAAAACGUCCUAAGACAGGAGAAAUGGUGAAGUUGCACUGUUCCAGCAUUGACAUGGAUCUUUGACAUAUAAAAUCUAAUGAAAUCUAUAUUAAAAUGAAUGAAAUCAAAUACAGUUUGCUACUGUAAAUCUUAAUUACAGUAACUUACUGGCAACAGUGUUGCCAGUAAGUUUCUGUAAAAACCCUUUGAAAUGUCUAACAGUGUACUGUAUUACAUUAAUAAGAAUAACAAUCGGGAAAUGGAAAUUGCAGAAAUAAGCAAAAUGUUGUAAAACAUUCAGACAUAUUGCAAUAAUGAAAAAUUGGAAUUUGAAACAUUUGAAAUUGUGAAAUGUUUAACUGUAAUGAAAAGAAACUAAAAAACAUUUGUAUCUAUUGGUUUUAAAUGAAAUGUGACUAGAUCAUGAUACUGUUAGACUUGCACUGAGAUAAAGAAACAUCCACUCAUGGACGACCUGUUUGAUUGUAAAGUGUGCAUCAAUUAAAGGAAUCUGACUUUGCAUGCAGGAGCAAGAGCCUCAGCCUGCCCACAGGAUAUGAGCAAAUGAACCACAAGCGUCAUCUUUUAGCUCACAAAUUACAGCAGCCAGAUUCAGGACACAGCACUGAUGUUCAGAUGAAUUGUGUUUAAUGUGUAGGGGGAAAAAAUCACCAGCCCAUUGAGCAAUAGAACUGGGAGAAAGUUUACAAUGUAAGCAUAGUGCUGCAUGUGUGAGGAAUGCAUCUGUGUGCAUGUCAGACAGAUAGAGACAUAGUGUUAAUUUACGAGUGUGUGUGUAAAUUAGAGAGCACAUGCAUUGGUUUUCUGUGACCUCAUCAGCACUCCCCCUCUGUGCCCAUACAGGUCCAUUUCUGGCCAAACGUAUGUUAACAAGGUCGAGAAAUUGCACGAUUUGAUAGCAUAUUUGAUUAGGAGCCAGCAGUAUCUCCCUCCCACUCCCGCUCAUGUUUGCUGGACUUGGCAAGCGCAGUAAGCCACGAGAGUUAAACAUUAACCCCUGCGGGAUCCAUGACCUAAUCAGAGGACAAACUCAGCACCAAAGCAGCCACAUAGCGCGUCCUGCUCGCAGCCACACUGUCUGACUAAGACCCCGUAUCCUCAACAAUGCUUCUUUAUGGACAAUCAUAAAUAAAGCCGGUUGAUUUAGGCCCGUGUGUGUUUUUUUUCACAGCCUAAAUCAACUGCUCCGAGGCAAAUGCAUGGAGGGACUUUUGGCAGACUGAAGGCCUUAUGCUUCAGCGGUUUUUAUUCCAGUUCAAACCUGAAUGAAAAGGUUAUGAGUGUGAGGGAAGCAAGACUGGGUGAGAUGAGAAUAGCACAGUUUGAUCAAGGUUUAUGUGCAUUUUUCAAAUGUGUUGUCACAUUACCCGAGGCGACAUUGACAAGUUAUGCAAAAACAGAAGAUGGGAAUCUUU